AGCGAACGCUGGCGGCAGGCCUAACACAUGCAAGUCGAACGAACUCUUCGGAGUUAGUGGCGGACGGGUGAGUAACACGUGGGAACGUGCCUUUUGGUUCGGAAUAACUCAGGGAAACUGGGGCUAAUACCGAAUGUGCCCUUCUGGGGAAAGAUCUAUCGCCAUUGGAGCGGCCCGCGUCUGAUUAGCUAGUUGGGGAGGUAAGGGCUCACCAAGGCGACGAUCAGUAGCUGGUCUGAGAGGAUGACCAGCCACACUGGGACUGAGACACGGCCCAGACUCCUACGGGAGGCAGCAGUGGGGAAUCUUGCGCAAUGGGCGAAAGCCUGACGCAGCCAUGCCGCGUGAAUGAUGAAGGUCUUAGGAUUGUAAAAUUCUUUAACCGGGGACGAUAAUGACGGUACCCGGAGAAGAAGCCCCGGCUAACUUCGUG
rnacentral:rRNA from 1 species